CCCCUGCAUACUUUCUGUCACUUUUUAGGUA
rnacentral:piRNA from 1 species